ensembl:snRNA U6 U6 spliceosomal RNA
GUGCUCACCUCAGCAGCAAUUAUAUCAAUACUAAAGUUGGACUGAUUUAAAGAAAAUCAGUAUGGCCCCUGUGCAAGAAUGACACAAAUUUCUGAAGCAUUCUAAAUUUAU